rnacentral:rRNA from 1 species
UACGUAGGGUGCGAGCGUUGUCCGGAAUUAUUGGGCGUAAAGGGCUCGUAGGCGGUUUGUCGCGUCGGGAGUGAAAACUCAGGGCUUAACCCUGAGCCUGCUUCCGAUACGGGCAGACUAGAGUGUUGCAGGGGAGACUGGAAUUCCUGGUGUAGCGGUGAAAUGCGCAGAUAUCAGGGAGGAACACCGGUGGCGAAGGCGGGUCUCUGGGCAACAACUGACGCUGAGGAGCGAAAGCGUGGGGAGCGAACAGG